GAUGAACGCUGGCGGCGUGCCUAAUACAUGCAAGUCGAGCGAGCAGACGAGGAGCUUGCUCCUCUGACGUUAGCGGCGGACGGGUGAGUAACACGUGGAUAACCUACCUAUAAGACUGGGAUAACUUCGGGAAACCGGAGCUAAUACCGGAUAAUAUAUUGAACCGCAUGGUUCAAUAGUGAAAGACGGUUUUGCUGUCACUUAUAGAUGGAUCCGCGCCGCAUUAGCUAGUCGGUAAGGUAACGGCUUACCAAGGCGACGAUGCGUAGCCGACCUGAGAGGGUGAUCGGCCACACUGGAACUGAGACACGGUCCAGACUCCUACGGGAGGCAGCAGUAGGGAAUCUUCCGCAAUGGGCGAAAGCCUGACGGAGCAACGCCGCGUGAGUGAUGAAGGUCUUCGGAUCGUAAAACUCUGUUAUUAGGGAAGAACAAAUGUGUAAGUAACUAUGCACGUCUUGACGGUACCUAAUCAGAAAGCCACGGCUAACUACGUG
rnacentral:rRNA from 1 species